GGAGGGAUGGCCGAGUGGUCGAUGGCGACGGUCUUGAAAACCGUUAGGCCCUCAGGGGUCUCGUGGGUUCGAAUCCCACUCCCUCCGCCA
rnacentral:tRNA from 1 species